rnacentral:misc_RNA from 1 species
UGGAGCUUGGCUGGAACUG